GCGGGGCGAUGUGUUGGAGCCCCGUUGCGGCAGACUGGCAAGUCAAUUCAGCAGGAAAGCCCUAGUCCGUAGGACUCAUGGAGCCACUUUUCCAGCAUUGCACUAAUUAGUUAGGGGUUUUCUUUUCGAACUUUAUCGUGAAGACAUUUGCUGGCUAAAACAACUACAUAUGAGGUUGUUUUCGAUGCUGCCUCUUCUCGGGGCAGAUAGGUGAGCGUUAUGUACCGUGAGCGCAGGACAAGCUAGCGUGCAUGAUCUAGAGAAACUGAAAGAUGUUCUUACUUUGCCAGCCACGGAAACGAGUACUAGCAGACGUCCCGGAAACUUUUUGGAGGCGAACGUCUAGGCUGUGCUCCAAUCGUGGAAUUGACAUACGAUGUGUUCGCUGCAGGUUUGAAAGAGAAAAGAAUAACGACCCUUAGUGGCUCCGCACUUGCUGCGCUGACGCAUUUUGUAUAAGCGGUCCUCACGGAGCGAGAACAGAGGCAUCAUUUGCUUCUCAAAUGUUUUUUUUCAGCCGGAAGACUUGUUAUGGCCGUUCGGUUGGACAUAGUGUGGUUGCGAAGAAAACGAAAUGUCGACGAGAAUUCUUACGCUGUAAGGUUCACCACAUGCAACAACGCGGAGCGUAGGGAGUCAUGCAGUCUCGGAAGAGCUGGUCGGUAACUACAGAUCCGAGUAAUGGCCAACACCACCGUGGCAGUGUGGUUUCAGUAACGAGGGGAACUGUGAAGAACACAGUUGGACGUCGGUUCCGGAUUUCAGUGGAUUUUUCUUUUUCUGCUCCAGCCGUGCCACUUACGUUGCUGGAGAUACGAGGUCCCAGUCCGAUUGGCGGCGCUUCAGAGCACGUUUGCCUUUCUGAACGCUUCACCCGAGGCGAGUACACGGCGCCUACCCACUAUUGUCACGAUCAAACAAAUUCCCUGGGGAAGCCGCAUUUCUCUGACGAGCUGUUUUUCUUGAGAUGCCAAGCAAGCUUCGCGUUCCUCUUCUGUCUCGACCUCGGAGGCUUGGACCCCCUGGAUCUCGGCUGUCUCUUCGACGGUCUCAACUGGUUGGGCGGACAAAGAAUCUUCAGCGGAUUGCGGCAAUGUGAUAUCUUCUUCACUCUGAGCCAUGACAGACUCCUCAGAGUGGGUCAUGGUUGUGUCGACAACGGAGUCAACAGACUGGGAGGAAACAGAGUCAUUUUCAGUCUGCCUGCGGCCGGAGAUAGCAGCAAGGAGGCGCCCUUUCUUGGACGGUGCAGCGUACUUACUCUCGGCGACUGGAGCCAUGUACUUUGUCUCGACAACAGGCUUCUUCACUGGAGCAACCUUCUUCGCCGGCACUGCAACGACCACGGGCUCCUGCUUCUUCUUUCCGAGGGAGCGCUCCUCAGCUCCUUCGAAAGACUCGUCAACCGGGACUUCUUCCAGAAUGCGAAGGCUUGCCUCCACCCCAUACUCAGCAGGGUCUUCUUGAACGUAUGACUGGACGUCCGCUUCCUCCGAGUCGUACGUCAUCUCCUGCACGUGACGAACAGGGGCACUGUACAAAAUUUCGCCAUCUUCAGGAACAGAAGUGCCUGCAACGAAGGGCAGGAGACUCCCUGCGGAGACAACCAAAGCAGGUAGCAGCUUCAUCUUGAAUAACGACGGAGUCCAAAAUAGCAAUAGUACCUGUUGCCCACUAGUACAGAAGAAAAUAGAAGUGAAGACUGCGCUGAAACUGAGUGAAAUGAGCGAGGCACUGAAGUGAAAAGAAAAGAAUGAUUUGUACGGUUGGAUUCACUGCAAGGUAUUGACGUUCUGUUGUCUGGAGGGAAGCAGUGUGUCCACAAAGGGGGAGGACCCUGUGAGGCAACGGUCAAUCCGUGAAGCGUCUCGGUGCUACACUGACAUGCGACAGUUUUUCUCGGCGGCAGCCCUGAAUCGUGAUCCUUGUCCUUGCCGGCCCCAGCUGCCAGCCAAAAAUUCCUAUCGAAUGUGAAGGCAUAGAGAGAUGGCGGAAGCAAGAUUUUUGUCAAGGAAAUAUGCACGUGUGGAGCUACCGACCUGUGUUUGUGGGCACUUGCCGUGUAAAAUGUCACGCCAACGGAGACACUUGCAACUGGGGAAAAUGAA
rnacentral:lncRNA from 1 species